rnacentral:rRNA from 1 species
CCUACGGGUGGCAGCAGUGAGGAAUAUUGGUCAAUGGACGAGAGUCUGAACCAGCCAAGUAGCGUGAAGGAUGACUGCCCUAUGGGUUGUAAACUUCUUUUAUAUGGGAAUAAAAUGUUCCACGUGUGGGAUUUUGUAUGUACCAUAUGAAUAAGGAUCGGCUAACUCUGUGCCAGCAGCCGCGGUAAUACGGAGGAUCCGAGCGUUAUCCGGAUUUAUUGGGUUUAAAGGGAGCGUAGGUGGAUUGUUAAGUCAGUUGUGAAAGUUUGCGGCUUAACCGUAAAAUUGCAGUUGAAACUGGCAGUCUUGAGUACAGUAGAGGUGGGCGGAAUUCGUGGUGUAGCGGUGAAAUGCUUAGAUAUCACGAAGAACUCCGAUUGCGAAGGCAGUUCACUGGACUGCAACUGACACUGAGGCUCGAAAGUGUGGGUAUCAAACAGGAUUAGAUACCCUGGUAGUC